CACGCUGUAAACGAUGGAUACUAAGUGUUGGGGUGACCCAGUGCUGUAGUUAACGCAGUAAGUAUCCCGCCUGGGGAGUAUGCACGCAAGUGUGAAACUCAAAGGAAUUGACGGGGACCCGCACAAGCGGUGGAUUAUGUGGUUCAAUUCGACGCAACGCGAAGAACCUUACCAAGCCUUGACAUGUAAGAUAAAGGCUCUAGAGAUAGAGAGAUAGUUAUAUUUUACACAGGUGG
rnacentral:rRNA from 1 species